rnacentral:rRNA from 1 species
UUCGAGGCUGCCCUAGCCGUGUGCCCCGCCGCCGCCCAGGCCUACUCCAAGUACUGCGGUAUUGUAUCUGGAUGCACAAAUGCGAACCCAAGGGAAGGGUUGGCGGAUCUUUCACGAACUAUAGAUAAUAUGGAAGGAAUGAGGGAUGGAAUAUUUGGUGAUAUUCACAAGCUCAUGUCAGUUCUUGAGUUCGAUGAUGUGAGCCAAUUCAAUUCCUUCUAUGAUUUUGUCUUCUUCAUUUCUCGUGAAAAUGGCCAAAAGAAUAUUACUGUUCAGAAGGCUCUUGCAGCAUGGAGGAUAGUUCUUGUUGGAAGGUUCCGAUUGCUUGACCGGUGGUGUAACUUUGUUGAGAAGUACCAACGUCACAACAUUUCUGAGGACGCCUGGCAGCAGCUACUAGCUUUCAGCAGGUGUGUAAACGAGGAUCUGGAAGGUUAUGAUCCAAAAGGUGCUUGGCCUGUCAUAAUUGAUGAUUUUGUGGAGCACAUGCACAGAAUCUACCGCCCUAGUGACUGCUCCAGUGCAAUGGAAUCACAAUGCAGCAUUUCCAAUACAUUUAGAGGUCUAAAUCUAUUACCUGGAUCAAAGAGGAAAUGCCCUACUCAGUUUAACUCCAGUGAAGAGAGCGUAGAGCUCUCAGAAGCUCUUAGACACUCUGUCCAACUUACCCCGUCGAAGCGACUUAAGGAAAGUUCUGCGCCUACUAGAUAUGGUGUUUGGGAGCGAGACGCAAGUACCCCUUUCUUUAACAGCACACCAGAUUGUCGCGAGGACAUGAAUUUACAGAACUCAAGAGGCUGCCUUCAGAACUCACCUCGUGUUAUUGAGGAUGGUUUUUCAAAAGGGUUCGAAGGUUGCAUUUCAAUGAAAUGCUCAUUUUAGUGCAAUGAGGAAUGCAUGGCAUCAUCAUUUAUGACUGCCCGUUACUCCAUAUAUUUCUGUUUUGCGUCAACACCAUUUUGUAUUUGUACUUAAAGUCAGUUUCCCAGUGGUGAUAUUAUUUUGUACACAAACAGUGAUGUUAUACAUGUCUGCUAUCGCAGAGAAAACGGCUUGUGAUUGUUCUUUCCUAAGUGUUUUGUUACCAAGUUUACGCAAUUGUUCUCCUGCUAUUUGCUGGGGAAAGUAAAAUGACUGCAUAGGGCAAUUCUUACCUCAAGUUAUUAGCAUACUAAAAACAAGAGUGUAGUAGCGUCUGUAUAUGUGCAAAGUACAUCUCUCUUUUUUUGGAGUGGCGUUUUUGCUCCCGGGAGCAUAUGCUCCUGGGUGAACAGUACCC